rnacentral:lncRNA from 1 species
GACAGUUCACGCGGCCCGGAUUGGAAUAAUAGAAAUAAAAGAAAUGAAACAAAACAAGGCAAAACAAAACAAUUGAUGGCUGGCUGCUAAUCAACCAAGUUUAAAGAAAUGUAGUGAAAUGUAGUUCGAAGUAUGUAGAUUGUACACAGUGCCAAAGCAUCAUCCCCAGCAAUGUUGGAAUUAGUUUGGCUCAAGUUUUUUCAAGAGUUUUUCUCCUUUGGCCAAUCCUUACUAUGUUACUGAGACAAGAGAUCAGUUUGGAUUCCCCCUGUUAUUGAUUGCUUGGACUGUCACUGAAGUUCUUCGCUACCUUUACUACAUCUUGAAUUUACUCUCUACUGUGCCAGCAAUUACAUUGGUGCAGAUAUUCUUUUUUAAUUAUCUUGUACUAUUGGAAUAACGGGUGAGCUUAUUUCCUGUUACUGUGCUCUACCCUACUAGCUACUACAGCAGAACUGAGGAAUUUUCAGUUUUACUACCAAAUAAGUAGAAUUUAACAAUCAACUUCUUCUGAAAUUUUUUCGAGUGACAUUUGAAUAUGACCUACUCAUCAAACAGAUGAGAGGUCAUUUUGCUGAAUUCACCCUUCUGGGUUCUACGGAACAGCACGUGCGACAAAAGUUGUUCCAAAUAUUCCAUUAAUGAACUGGCUUUCUUAACAACGCCGACCGUUACAUCCGGGAAGGUCAACGCCGUCGAUCCAAAGAAGCUCCCUUCAACCCAAUCAACGCGACUGACGUAAUCACCCUUGAAUCAGAGAAGAAAUAAAAUCCUCGACUAAUCGAAGAAGCUUUCAAAGAGAGUGAAAAUAACGAAUUAACUGGCUUCAAACGUAUCCGAGAUCAAAACAUUCAAAAAAAAGUCUAAUUAUCAAGGCCUUGCUCAUUACUGUAUUUGCCGAGGCAAACCCCAAGGAGGAAUGAUCGAAUGCUCGAUCUGCUUGUGAUGAUUCUAUCUUUCGUGUUAAGGAGGAGCGAAACAACAAGGUCCAGGGGCCAAAAAGAAGACAAAUAAUGAAGGCAAUGCAAUCAGCGGAAUCAAAGAUGGCCGUUACCUCUGUGGCUUUUUUGUCGUUCAAGACGGACUCGUCUUGAAACGAUCCUCUCGCUGAUGUGACGUUAUAAAAACUUCCUUUUCGAUUACCCGAGAGUGAAACUCUUCAAUAUGUCUCACAGAGAGGGCCAUGAACUGGCAGGAUCGAGGCUGCUAUCUACUGAUGAGUUAACAGCAUGUUUGUCUCAAUUAUCUACCAUUAUGCAACGAGCUACUGACGCUUCUUCUCAGAAGAAAAUAUAGGUUAUAAGAGUGGAUUCAAUUAACUUCAAAAAUUGUCAGUGCACCGCGAUUUCUACAAUGGCAACGAAGAGUCACAGGACAGCGAAUGUACGACUAAAGACGGUAUUUCAGAAGUUGUCGAACAACCUCCAGCGUUCAACAACUCAGAACAUGCGAAUUCUUUGUUUUCUAGAGAUGGCUCGAAUUGUAUCACUUCUAACAAGAAGAAUUCACGCAAAUCUCCGUUAGUUCCUCGACAGCUAAACUCAUUCGUGUGGACAACGCCAUCAAACGUUUCAUCCGAUUUCAUCAUCAUGAUCACAUAAUGUUCCUCUUACAACUCUUUCUUCUCAAUUAAACUGCUGAAGAUCUCAUCCUCGAGGGUGAUUCACUCGAAGUGUCGCUCGACGAAACGGAUCCAUAUAGGAAGGAUUCUUCAGGAUCGAUUCUGCUAUCUACUGAAGAAUUCAACGGUUUCUGGUUGUUGGACUCGGUGCGGGAAAAAAAAAUGUAAAAUUAAAUCCACGAAUGAGUG